rnacentral:rRNA from 1 species
AUACGGAGGGUGCGAGCGUUAAUCGGAAUUACUGGGCGUAAAGGGUGCGUCGGCGGUUUGAUAAGUCGGAUGUGAAAGCCCCGGGCUUAACCUGGGAAUGGCAUUCGAUACUGUCAGGCUAGAGUAUGUCAGAGGUUGGCGGAAUUCCUGGUGUAGCGGUGAAAUGCGUAGAUAUCAGGAGGAACACCAGUGGCGAAGGCGGCUAACUGGGGCAAUACUGACGCUGAGGCACGAAAGCGUGGGGAGCAAACAGGAUUAGAUACCCUAGUAGUCC